rnacentral:rRNA from 1 species
CGCAAACCGACACAGGUAGAUCAGGUAGAGAAUCCUAAGGCGCGCGAGAUAACUCUUGUUAAGGAACUCGGCAAAAUGACCCCGUAACUUCGGGAGAAGGGUUGCUGACCAUGGUGAGUAUGAACAAUACAGAGCUGAGGUCAGUCGCAGUGAAAAGGUCCAGGCGACUGUUUAGCAAAAACACAGGUCAUUGCAAAAUCGCAAGAUGAAGUAUAAUGGCUGACGCCUGCCCGGUGCUGGAAGGUUAAGGGGAAGAGUGCAAGCUUUGAACCGAAGCCCCAGUAAACGGCGGCCGUAACUAUAACGGUCCUAAGGUAGCGAAAUUCCUUGUCGGGUAAGUUCCGACCCGCACGAAAGGCGAAACGAUCUGGACGCUGUCUCAACAAGGGACUCGGUGAAAUUGAAAUUCCGGUAAAGAUGCCGGAUACCUGCGAUAGGACAGAAAGACCCCAUGGAGCUUUACUGUAGCCUGAUAUUGGGUUUCGGAUAUUCAUGUACAGGAUAGGUGGGAGACUGAGAAUCGAGGACGCCAGUUUUCGAGGAGUCACUGGUGGGAUACCACCCUUAAAUGUUUGGAAUUCUAACAAGGAGUCUUGAAGCAGAUUAUUGGACAGUGUCAGGUGGGCAGUUUGACUGGGGCGGUCGCCUCCCAAAAGGUAACGGAGGCGCUCAAAGGUUCCCUCAGAACGGAUGGAAAUCGUUCGCAGAGUGCAAAGGCAGAAGGGAGCUUGACUGCGAGAGCAACAACUCGAGCAGAUAGGAAACUAGGACUUAGUGAUCCGGCGGUCGCGAGUGGAAGUGCCGUCGCUCAACGGAUAAAAGCUACCCUGGGGAUAACAGGCUUAUCUCCCCCAAGAGUUCACAUCGACGGGGAGGUUUGGCACCUCGAUGUCGGCUCAUCGCAUCCUGGGGCUGAAGUAGGUCCCAAGGGUUGGGCUGUUCGCCCAUUAAAGCGGUACGCGAGCUGGGUUCAGAACGUCGUGAGACAGUUCGGUCCCUAUCCAUCGCGGGCGUAGGAAAUUUGAAGGGAGCUGACCCUAGUACGAGAGGACCGGGUUGGACAGACCGCUGGUGAACCAGUUGUCCUGCCAAGGGCAUAGCUGGGUAGCUAAGUCUGGAUGAGAUAAACGCUGAAAGCAUCUAAGCGUGAAGCCCACCUUAAGAUGAGAUUUCCAAGUAGUAAUACGAGAGACACCAGAGAGAAUAACUGGUAGAUAGGUCAGGAGUGUAAGUGUGGUGACACAUUGAGCGGACUGAUACUAAUAAGUCGAGCACUUAGCCAA